rnacentral:sRNA from 1 species
UUCUUCAGUGCCCAGUUUUCUGCUGUGGGAUAGUGUUGGGCCCAGGAAGAACAGAGCCUAAAUGCACCCCUCCACCCACUUCCACCGGGAUCUUGGCCAGAUACAACUUGACGAAGCUCGAGAGGAGAAUGUGGCCACUUUCCGAGGCUCAGAGUAUUUGUGCUACGACCUGUCUCAGAACCCGAUCCAGAGCAGCAGUGAUGAAAUCACCCUCUCCUUUAAGACCUGGCAGCGUAACGGCCUCAUCCUGCACACGGGCAAGUCGGCUGACUAUGUCAACCUGGCUCUGAAGGAUGGUGCGGUCUCCUUGGUCAUUAACCUGGGGUCUGGGGCCUUUGAGGCCAUUGUGGAGCCAGUGAAUGGAAAAUUCAACGACAACGCCUGGCAUGAUGUCAAAGUGACACGCAACCUCCGGCAGGUGACAAUCUCUGUGGAUGGCAUUCUUACCACGACGGGCUACACUCAAGAGGACUAUACCAUGCUGGGCUCAGACGACUUCUUCUAUGUGGGAGGAAGCCCAAGUACCGCUGACUUGCCUGGCUCCCCUGUCAGCAACAACUUCAUGGGUUGCCUUAAAGAGGUUGUUUACAAGAAUAAUGACAUCCGUCUGGAGCUGUCUCGCCUGGCCCGGAUUGGGGACACCAAGAUGAAAAUCUAUGGCGAAGUUGUGUUUAAGUGUGAGAAUGUGGCCACACUGGACCCCAUCAACUUCGAGACCCCAGAGGCUUACAUCAGCUUGCCCAAGUGGAACACUAAACGUAUGGGCUCCAUCUCCUUUGACUUCCGCACCACAGAGCCCAAUGGCCUGAUCCUCUUCACUCAUGGAAAGCCCCAAGAGAGGAAGGAUGCUCGGAGCCAAAAGAACACAAAAGUAGACUUCUUUGCUGUGGAACUCCUCGAUGGCAACCUGUACUUGCUGCUUGACAUGGGCUCUGGCACUAUCAAAGUGAAAGCCACUCAGAAGAAAGCCAAUGAUGGGGAAUGGUACCAUGUGGACAUUCAGCGAGAUGGCAGAUCAGGUACUAUAUCAGUGAACAGCAGGCGCACGCCAUUCACCGCCAGUGGGGAGAGCGAGAUCCUGGACCUGGAAGGAGACAUGUACCUGGGAGGGCUGCCGGAGAACCGUGCUGGCCUUAUUCUCCCCACCGAGCUGUGGACUGCCAUGCUCAACUAUGGCUACGUGGGCUGCAUCCGCGACCUGUUCAUUGAUGGGCGCAGCAAGAACAUUCGACAGCUGGCAGAGAUGCAGAACGCUGCGGGUGUCAAGUCCUCCUGUUCACGGAUGAGCGCCAAGCAGUGUGACAGCUACCCCUGCAAGAACAAUGCUGUGUGCAAGGACGGCUGGAACCGCUUCAUCUGCGACUGCACCGGCACCGGAUACUGGGGAAGAACCUGCGAAAGGGAGGCGUCCAUCCUGAGCUAUGAUGGUAGCAUGUACAUGAAGAUCAUCAUGCCCAUGGUCAUGCAUACUGAGGCAGAGGAUGUGUCCUUCCGCUUCAUGUCCCAGCGAGCUUAUGGGCUGCUGGUGGCUACGACCUCCAGGGACUCUGCCGACACCCUGCGUCUGGAGCUGGAUGGGGGGCGUGUCAAGCUCAUGGUUAACUUAGGCAAAGGACCAGAGACCUUGUAUGCAGGGCAGAAGCUCAAUGACAACGAGUGGCACACCGUUCGGGUGGUGCGGAGAGGAAAAAGCCUUAAGUUAACCGUGGAUGAUGAUGUGGCUGAGGGUACAAUGGUGGGAGACCAUACCCGUUUGGAGUUCCACAACAUUGAAACAGGAAUCAUGACUGAGAAACGUUACAUCUCCGUUGUCCCCUCCAGCUUUAUUGGCCAUCUGCAGAGCCUCAUGUUUAAUGGCCUUCUCUACAUUGACUUGUGCAAAAAUGGUGACAUUGAUUAUUGUGAGCUGAAGGCUCGUUUUGGACUGAGGAACAUCAUCGCUGACCCUGUCACCUUUAAGACCAAGAGCAGCUACCUGAGCCUUGCCACUCUUCAGGCUUACACCUCCAUGCACCUCUUCUUCCAGUUCAAGACCACCUCACCAGAUGGCUUCAUUCUCUUCAAUAGUGGUGAUGGCAAUGACUUCAUUGCAGUCGAGCUUGUCAAGGGGUAUAUACACUACGUUUUUGACCUCGGAAACGGUCCCAAUGUGAUCAAAGGCAACAGUGACCGCCCCCUGAACGACAACCAGUGGCACAAUGUCGUCAUCACUCGGGACAAUAGUAACACUCAUAGCCUGAAAGUAGACACCAAAGUGGUCACUCAGGUUAUCAAUGGUGCCAAAAAUCUGGAUUUGAAAGGUGAUCUCUACAUGGCUGGUCUGGCCCAAGGCAUGUACAGCAACCUCCCAAAGCUCGUGGCCUCUCGAGAUGGCUUUCAGGGCUGUCUGGCAUCGGUGGACUUGAAUGGACGCCUGCCAGACCUCAUCAAUGAUGCUCUUCAUCGGAGCGGACAGAUCGAGCGUGGCUGUGAAGGACCCAGUACCACCUGCCAGGAAGAUUCAUGUGCCAACCAGGGAGUCUGCAUGCAACAAUGGGAGGGCUUCACCUGUGAUUGUUCUAUGACCUCUUAUUCUGGAAACCAGUGCAAUGAUCGUAAGUACAACAACCUUUCAUACUGGAACUUUGUCAAGAUGUUUGGAGAUUUGGAGAAUCUUAAAGGACAAUAUGUAAAAGCAUGGCUCUUCUGAAAGAUUCAUAAGUAAUUCUCUCCUCCAGGAACUUGGGAAAUAAAUCACUAGUGCUCUUAUGAG